UACGUAGGGUGCGAGCGUUGUCCGGAAUUAUUGGGCGUAAAGGGCUCGUAGGCGGUCUGUCGCGUCGGGCGUGAAAACUCAGGGCUUAACCCUGAGCCUGCUUCCGAUACGGGCAGACUAGAGGUAUGCAGGGGAGAACGGAAUUCCUGGUGUAGCGGUGGAAUGCGCAGAUAUCAGGAGGAACACCGGUGGCGAAGGCGGUUCUCUGGGCAUUACCUGACGCUGAGGAGCGAAAGUGUGGGGAGAGAACAGG
rnacentral:rRNA from 1 species